GCUUUGAGCAACAUGAGGAUUAGCAUUGCUAUUCCGAUUCAGAGAUAAGGAUAAACGACAGGCUUUGCCUAAUCAGGUUGAGCAGUUGAUGGAAUGGAAUGAUGUUGAGCGGGUGUUCCUUUGACAUUUCAAGAAAUGUAACCUUGAGUAUACAUCUUCAUAUGUAUAUCUCACACGUUUUCCGCUGCAAAACACUUUGAUUAGGAUAACUCUAUGUUAUGAAGUUGUUACACGUGUUAUUGGGUAACCCACCUUAAUCAGUUCUCUUUUAUGUGUAUGUUUUAUAAGUAUCCAAAUGAUCAUAUAUGAUCCUAGCUUUUUAUCUAUAAGUGAUAUUUUCAUAUACUUUAAUGUUAA